rnacentral:rRNA from 1 species
GGCCUAUUAGGUCUCGUAAUUGGAAUGAGAACAAUUUAAAUACCUUAACGAGGAACAAUUAGAGGGCAAGUCUGGUGCCAGCAGCCGCGGUAAUUCCAGCUCUGAUAGUAUAUAUUAAAGUCGUUGCAGUUAAAAAGCUCGUAGUUGAAACUUGGGUGCGUAGGGGCGGUCUCUUUUAGAGUACUACCCUGAAACAUCUUUCUUUGGUGUAAACUCUUUAUUCACUUAAGGAGUGUAAACCAAACAUUUACUUUGAAAAAAUUAGAGUGUUCAAAGCAGGCCUUUGCUCGAAUAUAUUAGCAUGGAAUAAUAGAAUAGGACGUAUGGUUCUAUUUUGUUGGUUUCUAGGACCGUCGUAAUGAUUAAUAGGGACGGUCGGGGGCAUCAGUAUUCAGUUGUCAGAGGUGAAAUUCUUGGAUUUACUGAAGACUAACUACUGCGAAAGCAUUUGCCAAGGACGUUUUCAUUAAUCAAGAACGAAAGUUAGGGGAUCGAAGACGAUCAGAUACCGUCGUAGUCUUAACCGUAAACUAUGCCGACUAGGGAUCGGAGGGCGUUAUAAUAACCUCUCCGGCACCUUACGAGAAAUCAAAGUUUUUGGGUUCUGGGGGGAGUAUGGUUGCAAGGCUGAAACUUAAAGGAAUUGACGGAAGGGCACCACCAGGAGUGGAGCCUGCGGCUUAAUUUGACUCAACACGGGGAAACUCACCAGGUCCAGACACAAUAAGGAUUGACAGAUUGAGAGCUCUUUCAUGAUUUUGUGGGUGGUGGUGCAUGGCCGUUCUUAGUUGGUGGAGUGAUUUGUCUGCUUAAUUGCGAUAACGAACGAGACCUUAACCUGCUAAAUAGCUGUAACAAUAGAUUAUUGUUUUGACAGCUUCUUAGAGGGACUAUCGAUUUUCAAGUCGAUGGAAGUUUGAGGCAAUAACAGGUCUGUGAUGCCCUUAGACGUUCUGGGCCGCACGCGCGCUACACUGACGGAGCCAGCGAGUCUAACCUGUGCCGAGAGGUAUGGGUAAUCUUGUGAAACUCCGUCGUGCUGGGGAUAGAGCAUUGCAAUUAUUGCUCUUCAACGAGGAAUUCCUAGUAAGCGCAAGUCAUCAGCUUGCGUUGAUUACGUCCCUGCCCUUUGUACACACCGCCCGUCGCUACUGCCGAUUGAAUGGCUUAGUGAGGCUUCCGGAUUGAUUAACUGGAGAGGGCAACUUUUCUGGUUGAACGAGAAGCUGGUCAAACUUGGUCAUUUAGAGGAAGUAAAAGUCGUAACAAGGUUUCCGUAGGUGAUCCUGCGGAAGG